GGCAAGAUGGCCGAGUGGUCUAAGGCGUAGCAUUAAGGAAGAUAUCAUGAGCAAUCGGGAGGACCUGCUAUCUUCGGGCGUGGGUUGGAAUCCCACUCUUGUCA
rnacentral:tRNA from 1 species